GUCCAGAGCCUGUCAUCUCACUACUCAAGAUGUUGAAGCAAGAGGAUAGAAACGCCCGACCUACAUAAGUAGGGAAUUCAACAUCAUCCUGGCCCACUUUUGAGGAUGUAAUCUGAAAACUAAAAAUGAGGUUGAGCAAGGUGGUCCCCGCCUUUAAUCUCAGCAUGCAAGAGGCAGCGGAACUACGGGUAUGUGCUGCAGGUGUCCAGAGAGGCCAGAGGCAUUGGGUUCCGUGAUGGCUGGUUUUAUGUCAACUUGACACAAACUGGGGCCAUUGGGGAAGAGGCUGGGAAGAUGUCCCCAGCAGACUGGCCUGUGGAGAAGCCUGCGCUGCAUUUCCUGACUGAUGAGCGAUACAGGAGGCCCAGCUCACUGUAGACAGUACCAUCCCAGGCUGGUGAUCCUGGAGGCUAUAAGAAAGCAGGCUGAGCAGGCCAUGAGGAGCAAGCCAGUAACUAGUGGUCCUCCAUGGUCUCUGCCUCCACUCUUGCCUCCAGGUUCCUGUCCUUCCUGCCCUGACUCCCCUCAGUGAUAGCUUAUGGUCAUAAGCUAUAAGGUGAAAUAAAUUCCUUCCUCCCCAA